rnacentral:snRNA from 1 species
GUACUCACUUCAGCAGCACAUAUACUAAAAUUGGAACGAAGCAGAGAAGAUGGCCCCUGUGUGAUGAUGACAUGCAAAUUUGUGAAGUGUUCCAUAAUUUA